GGGGAAUAUUGGGCAAUGGGCGAAAGCCUGACCCAGCAACGCCGCGUGAGGGAAGAAGGUUUUCGGAUUGUAAACCUCUGUCCUAAGGGACGAAGGAAGGGACGGUACCUUAGGAGGAAGCCUCGGCUAACUAAGUGACGGCAGCCGCGGUAAUACGUAGGGGGCGAGCGUUGUCCGGAAUGACUGGGCGUAAAGGGCGUGUAGGCGGCUUUUUAAGUCUGGAGUGAAAGUCCUGCUUUUAAGGUGGGAAUUGCUUUGGAGACUGGAGAGCUUGAGUGCGGAAGAGGUAAGUGGAAUUCCCAGUGUAGCGGUGAAAUGCGUAGAGAUUGGGAGGAACACCAGUGGCGAAGGCGACUUACUGGGCCGUAACUGACGCUGAGGCGCGAAAGCGUGGGGAGCGAACAGG
rnacentral:rRNA from 1 species